GGGAAAUGGUAAGAGGGGCCAGCCCCAGGCCCCUCCAAACAAUGAGGCA
rfam:Gorilla gorilla gorilla genomic chromosome, chr10, whole genome shotgun sequence